rnacentral:rRNA from 1 species
AAUAGGCUAAUUAAGAGCGUAAGGGGAAUGCCUUGGCUCUCAGAGGCGAAGAAGGACGUGAUAAGCUGCGAAAAGUUGCGGGGAGUGGCACAUACAUUUUGAUCCGCAAAUGUCCGAAUGGGGAAACCCGGUUAUUUGAAGAAUAAUCAUCCAUUUAUGGAAGCUAACCCGGAGAACUGAACAUCUAAGUACCCGGAGGAAAAGAAAACAAUAGUGAUUCCGCUAGUAGUGGCGAGCGAACGCGGAAUAGCCCAAACCUAAAUUGUUUAGGCAAUUUAGGGGUUGUAGGACCACAAUAUUUGUUGCUC